AGUGAACGCUGGCGGCAGGCCUAACACAUGCAAGUCGAACGGCAGCACAGUAAGAGCUUGCUCUUACGGGUGGCGAGUGGCGGACGGGUGAGGCAUACAUCGGAAUCUACUUUUUCGUGGGGGAUAACGUAGGGAAACUUACGCUAACACCGCAUACGUCCUACGGGUGAAAGCAGUGGAUCUUCGGACCUUGCGCGAUUGAAUGAGCCGAUGUCGGAUUAGCUAGUUGGGGGGGUAAAGGCCCACCAAGGCGACGAUCCGUAGCUGGUCUGAGAGGAUGAUCAGCCACACUGGAACUGAGACACGGUCCAGACUCCUACGGGAGGCAGCAGUGGGGAAUAUUGGGCAAUGGGCGCAAGCCUGAUCCAGCCAUGCCGCGUGGGUGAAGAAGGCCUUCGGGUUGUAAAGCCCUUUUGUUGGGGAAGAAAAGCAGCGGAUUAAUACCCCGCUGUUCUGACGGUACCCAAAGAAUAAGCACCGGCUAACUUCGUG
rnacentral:rRNA from 1 species